CGACUCUGGUAUUGAUUGGUGCUUGCAUCAUGAUUUACAUUUGAGUGAGUGGCGAACUGGUGAGUAACACGUGGGAAACCUGCCCAGAAGCGGGGGAUAACACCUGGAAACAGAUGCUAAUACCGCAUAACAACUUGGACCGCAUGGUCCGAGUUUGAAAGAUGGCUUCGGCUAUCACUUUUGGAUGGUCCCGCGGCGUAUUAGCUAGAUGGUGGGGUAACGGCUCACCAUGGCAAUGAUACGUAGCCGACCUGAGAGGGUAAUCGGCCACAUUGGGACUGAGACACGGCCCAAACUCCUACGGGAGGCAGCAGUAGGGAAUCUUCCACAAUGGACGAAAGUCUGAUGGAGCAACGCCGCGUGAGUGAAGAAGGGUUUCGGCUCGUAAAACUCUGUUGUUAAAGAAGAACAUAUCUGAGAGUAACUGUUCAGGUAUUGACGGUAUUUAACCAGAAAGCCACGGCUAACUACGUGCCAGCAGCCGCGGUAAUACGUAGGUGGCAAGCGUUGUCCGGAUUUAUUGGGCGUAAAGCGAGCGCAGGCGGUUUUUUAAGUCUGAUGUGAAAGCCUUCGGCUCAACCGAAGAAGUGCAUCGGAAACUGGGAAACUUGAGUGCAGAAGAGGACAGUGGAACUCCAUGUGUAGCGGUGAAAUGCGUAGAUAUAUGGAAGAACACCAGUGGCGAACGCGGCUGUCUGGUCUGUAACUGACGCUGAGGCUCGAAAGUAUGGGUAGCAAACAG
rnacentral:rRNA from 2 species